AACCGUCGACGAGCGGCUCUCCACGACCCCCCGCCCAGUUGUGGUCGUCGCCAGAUGCCUCGCUGCUGCUGAACGUCGUCUUCCUUCUCGCAGCCACGCACCGUCCGAGCGCCACCAUGACUUCUCGCACCAGUGCAUCGCCCCGGUCUCCUCCGCCAUGCCCAUGCAGGAAGCUGGUGCCGCUGCAACAAGUUCAAAUGUCACUGUAGCGGCCGGACGGAUUUGACACACUGUGCCUCCACGGUGCUCCCUCCCACAAAGAGGUCGUUGCUAGACGAUGAAUUAACCUCGCCUCUGAUGCUCCAUUUGGAUGGCAUGCCACACCCUUUCUUUUGGAGACUUCAUAUUCUAAUUUUCUUUAGGGGAAAUUGAUGUGUUGUGUUGCUC